UACGGAGGGCGCUAGCGUUGUUCGGAAUUACUGGGCUUAAAGCGCACGUAGGCGGCUUUGUAAGUUAGAGGUGAAAGCCUGUAGCUCAACUCCAGAACUGCCUUUCAGACUGUAUCGCUCGAAUCCAGGAGAGGUGAGUGGAAUUCCGAGUGUAGAGGUGAAAUUCGUAGAUAUUUGGAAGAACACCAGUGGCGAAGGCGGCUCACUGGACUGGGAUUGACGCUGAGGUGCGAAAGCGUGGGGAGCAAACAGG
rnacentral:rRNA from 1 species